GCCGGGGUGGCUGAGUGGUUAGGCAACGGGCUGCAGACCCGUGUAUGUCAGUUCGAAUCUGGUCCCCGGCUCCA
rnacentral:tRNA from 1 species